GCAAGCGUUAAUCGGAAUUACUGGGCGUAAAGCGCGCGUAGGCGGAAUAUUAAGUCUCAUGUGAAAGCCCAGGGCUCAACCUUGGAACUGCAUGGGAUACUGGUAUUCUAGAAUACAGUAGAGGGAGGUGGAAUUUCAGGUGUAGCGGUGAAAUGCGUAGAGAUCUGAAGGAACAUCAGUGGCGAAGGCGACCUCCUGGACUGAUAUUGACGCUGAGGUGCGAAAGCGUGGGUAGCAAACAGGAUUAGAUACCCUGGUAGUCCACGCCGUAAACGAUG
rnacentral:rRNA from 1 species